AUUGAACGCUGGCGGCAUGCCUAACACAUGCAAGUCGAGCGGAGCGGCGGACGGGUGAGUAAUGCCUAGGUAUCUGCCUGGUAGAGGGGGAUAACGUCCGGAAACGGGCGCUAAUACCGAACACUAUCAGAUGAGCAUAAGUCGGAUUAGCUAGUUGGUGGGGUAAAGGCCUACCAAGGCGACGAUCCGUAACUGGUCUGAGAGGAUGAUCAGCCACACUGGAACUGAGACACGGUCCUGACUCCUACGGGAGGCAGCAGUGGGGAAUAUUGGACAAUGGGCGAAAGCCUGAUCAAGCAAUGCCGCGUGUGUGAAGAAGGUCUUCGGAUUGUAAAGCACUUUAAGUUGGGAGGCGUUACCAACAGAAUAAGCACCGGCUAACUUCGUGCCAGCAGCCGCGGUAAUAC
rnacentral:rRNA from 1 species